rnacentral:tRNA from 1 species
GGAAGAGAAGCGCUCCCCGGUGGGACGUCCGGUCUUCAAAACCGGAAGGGGCCGUUCUACGGUCCCUGGUGGGUUCGACUCCUACUCUUUUCCGCCA